rnacentral:rRNA from 1 species
UACAGAGGGGGCAAGCGUUAUUCGGAAUUAUUGGGCGUAAAGGGCGCGUGGGCGGCUUUUCAAGUGACGGGUGAAAUCCCUCGGCUUAACCGAGGAACUGCCUGUCAGACUGGAAGGCUUGAGACCGGGAGAGGUGAGUGGAAUUCCCAGUGUAGCGGUGAAAUGCGUAGAUAUUGGGAGGAACACCAGUGGCGAAGGCGGCUCACUGGACCGGAACUGACGCUGAGGCGCGAAAGCGUGGGGAGCAAACAGG